GGCUAUGUAGCUCAGUUGGUUAGAGCACACGACUCAUAAUCGUGGUGUCGGCGGUUCGAAUCCGCCCAUAGCCACCA
rnacentral:tRNA from 1 species